rnacentral:tRNA from 1 species
GGAUGUAGGUCAGUUGGUAGAGCGCAUGCCUGCCAUGCACAGGGCCUGGUUCAAUCCCAGCACCA